GGAGAUUUAGCUCAGUGGUAGAGCGCUUGCCUAGCAAGCACAAGGCUGUGGGUUCGGUCCCCAGCUCCG
rnacentral:tRNA from 1 species